CAUUUUCUAUAUUAUGCUUCUGUUUGACAUUGUAUUUGGACAAAGGCCUUGGUAGCUAAAUAAGUUUGUAAAGGCACUAGUGUUAGCUGUCUUUAGGAUCAGAUCUGAUCUCUUUAAACUUCAAAUCCUCCACUUUUUGAUCUCAACUUUCACUCAUGUUUUCUACAGCUUCUCCUCUACAUGAGCCCUUUGCCUCAGUCAGGAUGAUUUGUUCAUUGAACUCUGUUAUGGGUCAAGCUGUGUCCACUCAAAAAUUUUAUGCUGCAAUACUAACAUCAAUACUUCAGAAAGUGAUCUUAUUUGGAAAGAGGUUGGUUGUAGAUCUAACCAGUUAAGAUUAGGUAAUACUGGAGUGGGGUGGGCCCUUAAUAUGACCGGUGUACUUACAGAAAGGAGGCAUUUGGAUAUAGCCUGCAAACAGAGAGAAUGCCGUGAGGGGGUGAAGGCAGCAAUCAGGUGGAUACAGCAGAAACCAAGGGUUUCCAGCGAUAUCAGCAAACCACCAGAAGCUACAUGACAACCAUGGAACAAAUUUCUCACAGCCCUUAGAAAGAACCAAUUAUGAUGAUGCCUUGAUUUGAUAUUCUAGCCACCUAACUAUGAGAUAACAAACUUUGUUGUUUAAGACACCCAGUUUGUGGUACUUUUUUUCUGGCAGCUCUAGAAAACGAAUAUAGUCUCUAAACAUGCUAAGUGCAUCUUCACCUCUACAUGUUUGUUCUUCCUGCAAUGCAAAUCAUUAGAGUUUGCUUCCCCCUUUAAGAACUAGCCCUAGUUCUGCAAACUUCCUAAACUGUCUUUUAGCUGCUUUAAAUGUGGGCAAACUUUUUUUCAAGUGAUCAAAUUUUUUAAAUUGAAAUAUGGUUAAUUUAAAAUACUUUUUUAGUUUCAAGUGUACAACACAGUAAUAUUUUGUAUAUAUAUAAUUAUAUCUAUAUUAUUUUCCAGAUUCUUUUCCACUACAGGUUAUUACGAGAUAUUGAGCAUAGUUCCCUGUGCUAUACAGGAGGUCCAUAUUGUUUACAUUUUAUAUAUAGUAGUGUGUAUAUGUUAAUCCCAAGCUCUUAAUUUUUUUGAAAGACCUUAAAGCAUUUUAUUUAUUAUUUAUUUAUUUAGGCAUAAAGCCAAACUGGAGUGCCUUUGUGGCCAUUCUGAUCAACUUCAGAUAUCUAUGCUAGCUGGGAGUGUAUUAAUUGACUUUGGGGACACACAAAGAUAAGGGUUACGUAAAGAUAAAACAAUAGGUAUUAUCAACAAGUGUAGACAAACCACUUUCUAAUAUAACAAACAAUCAAUUUCAACUCUCUUAGUAUGAACUGGGAAUCAUUGAGCUUUUCUGUUUUCGCAUGAAUUUGAAAGGCUACUAUUUUGGUGGUAUGUAUCUUGCUUUGUUUACAGAUUAUUUUUGUUGUGCUAGUGCAAAAGGACCUAAUUAUAAUUGACACACUUCACGAAGCCCAUGCAUCCUGACAGCAUGUUCAGAUUAUUCAAGAGCACUUCAAGAAUCCUUUCUUUAAUCACCAAAAUGUGUUUAGUACCCUUCUUAAGGUCUCCAAUGACCUGAAUUUCCAAAUCUAAAAUUUUGUUCACUGCUUUUCCGACCAAUACUUGUAAAGAAAUCAGCAUUGUUAACAGCUCGCUACAUCUCAAAUUGUCUCUUUUGACCUUUUUCUCUCCUUUAUUUCCUGGUGUUUCUCCCAAUUUGUCUAAGCCUUCCUUUCACUUGUCUUCUGUGGGUCUCUCCUGCAUCAUCUACAGUCCCACCCAUUCUCAAGAAUGCAGUUACCAAAUGAAUGCUGAUGCUUCCCAAGUCCCAAGUACCUCUUGUUCCAAAUUUGCCUCAGAAAUACAUUUAUAACAGAUUCUUGGUAUAUAUGCAUGCAAUUUGGUUCAUCAUAAGUACUGUCUUUUCAGUGGCAAAGUAAGCUAUUUUGCAUGUACAGUGGCCCCUGGGUACCAAUACCACCUGACUCUAAGAUCCAGAUUCAGCUAAACUGGCUGGGUUUUGGUACUGCUAAUACAUAAUUAUCCAAAAUUAUUUCUCACUAAGUCAAAAGGCCACUACCACAGAAAAACGAUUCUAAACCAAAACAUUAUUUGAUAUAAAAAUCAUGACUUUUGCCAUAGUUCAUGAAAAUUAAAAAAAAGUUUUUUAAAAAAGUCUCCCCUCCUUUCACGGCAUGACUUUUCUGCUAUAUUCACUUACAAACAAUAUUGCUGAAAAUUAGUUUAAAAUUGGUGCAUUUAAAAAUGUACUUUGAUUUGGUUUUGGAUUUUAAUAAGGAUAUCAAAUACUUUCAAUGGCUUUCCAUUACUCUUGUAUAAAUUUUAAUCUUUUUAGGACUUGUGGCCUUACACAAACUGAGCCAAAUCUACCUUUUCAACUCUUUCUCUUCUACCAGGUAAUAAAAUUUACAUUCCAACUGAGCCAGUUUUUCAGCACUCACUCAUACAUUUGAGGUUUUUACCUCAGUGUCUAGAGUUGUUUUCAAAAAUAUUUUUUUCCAUAUAAAAUAACAUCUCUCCCUUCUGUUUCUAUCAUCAAAAAUCUUGCCUAUCCUUAUCACGAAGCCCAUUUUUCAUCAAUCUUUCCACAUUAACAAAGGUCAGAUUUAGUUUUUUCCUCUAUGUCUUUCUUUCUUUAUCUUUUUCUUUCUUUGUUUCUUUCUUUCUUUUUUUUUGUUCACCCCUGCGGCACAUGGAAAUUCCCAGGCCAGAGCUAGAACCUGAGCCACCACAGAGACAAUUCCAGAUCCUUAACCCGACACACUGCAGUGGGAACUCCAGAUUUACCUUCUCUUUACAGUACUGAUAACAGUAUAUUUUUCUCUACAGUUGGUUGAAAAUAAAUAUUUCCUACUUAGCUGUAAGUUUCUUUGUGGCCCAGUAUCAAUAGGUACCUGCUAUUACCAAAUUAAAUGCACAACACAAUCACUGAAAUAUUUGCAGAACUAUAUUGUUUCGGUUGCAAAGAUCUGUCUUCUGGGUGGACACAGUUAAAGAAUAAAAAAACAGAGAAAAUAUUAAGUGAUGAUAAAUAAAAUCUCAUCCAGUAAAUCUUUUUGGAAUUGACAGAAAUAGUGCAAGUAAUAAUACAUCUGAACAAGAAAAAGUAUUAUACUGAAGACAAAACUGAAAAAAAAAAAAAAAGGAUCUACACAAAGCAGAUACAUCAUCCCUUUGGAGCCAAAUCAGACUUUUAGGUAGGCAGAAAGCUGGAAAUGGAAAUUGAAGUGGUCUGGGAAACAAGACUCCCAGACCUUCCUUUACAAAGAACAGUACAAAGUAGGUCAGCACUGCUUAGAGAAGUGGUGAGAGCACAGAACAUUCAGAAAAGAAAGGAAAGAAUAGAUCCCUUAAAGCUCUAUAAGCUAGCAUCAAAUGCAAGAAAAAGGAAGUUAGAGGUGAUAGUAAUGUCAAGUGGCACAAAACAAGAACAAGAAUUGCGUUUAUUGGAGGUUGGGCUAUAGAGGGGGUCACAGAAGACUUGCUGUGCUAUUUGGGAGGGAAAAAAAGAGUGAGAAUAAAGCAAAUCUCUAAGAAAAACAAUUGCUGUGUUUUCAUUUUGGUCAUCUGGUUUUGGUAUCUUAUAGUGUUUAAAGAGUCAAAGCUCUGCGGCAAAAGAUAACUGGGCCCAUCUCCAAGUUCUGUCCCUUGGGAGCUAGAUGGCCUAGCUUAAGUUGCUUAUGCAUCAAGUUUAUUCCCUAGAAUAGGGACAAUAGUGGUACUUAAUUCAGAGCAUCUUUGAAAGAUGAAAUAAGAUACAACAUUUAAACAUUCAGCAUAAAGCCUGUAUGAUGAAGUGCUCAAUAAAUAUUAGCUAUUAUUUUCAACCUCUAAAAACAUGCCAUGUUUCCAAGACUCUAGGAAGGCUUUCCUGCUCCCAAAUUCAGGGCUGACUCCCAAAUACUAAGGUUGUCAUUAUAUAUUAAACACAUCCCAUUCGUUUACAACUCUCUAUGAAGAAGGGUGUGAUAUGUUAGUCAUUUUCUUCAUUCCUCAGUAUCUAUCAUCAUUGAAUACCCAACAUAUAACUGAAUAGAAGUAUUUAUGUCAGGGAGAGGUUACGCGGGGAAAAGUAGAAAGGAACACGACGACACUGGGAGGAAUGGAGAUGUAUUCCUGCACACUUUGGUAAUGCUGGCUUUAGUAUGCAGGGAAGUACACCUGAGCAACAGCCUUCUCAUUCCUGCCUUGUGGGAGAUAUUCACAUGGUUCAUGUAACCUGAAAACACAGGUAAUUAUAAAAUCAGAAAUACACUGAAACAACAAAGACGGUAUUUAAAAAUGAGAGAUGAGGAAGUAAGAUUCUGCUGCAUACUGUGCUGGCACCUCAUCAACUACACACUAUAAUAAUAAAAGACUGAACAAAAUAAAAAAAAAAAAAAACUACUGAGGCAGUGACCAUUACUGACAAUAUUUAUGUAAGUGAUCAGUACUUAACACUGAUAAAGCUUAUUUUUUUUUCCGUACUUGUAGCAUGUAGAAGUUCCCAGGCCAGGAUCUGAAUCCAUGCCACAGUAGUAACCCAGGCACUGCAGUGACCAUGCCAGACCCUUAGCCCACUACACCACAAGGGAAUUCCUGUAAUGAUUAUUAAGGCAUUUAUAAUUUUUUGUAUUUUUAUGAGUUAUUGAACUAAAGAACUAUUCUGUACAUAAAGGAAUGGAAAUUCCGUGAGAUUUUUCAGGAAUUAAAAGUUCCCGCUACACUAUGUUGUUUAUGCCCCACUCCAUUCUAAUGUAUCAGUGACCAAUGCUAUGGCUAAAAGUUAUCCCAGCUUCUCAUAAUUUUUCAUGCAGACUCAAUUUGCACUGAAUUAUUCUUAGACAAGAUUUAUGAAAAAUCUUUUAAAAAUAUGUAUGCUUCAUUAUAUAUUACUCUCUUAAAAACAAUGAUUUAUUUUAUUCUAGCAAACCCUUAUUUGUCAUAUGAUGAGCACUAUGUUAAGCAUGGGAAUGAGAAGAAUCAAUUGUACGAGACGGAAACAAGCUAUUUUCAUAGCUAGAUACAGAGUCCCUCUUUAGAAGAUAGUCACCUGUGGUGAAAAAAAAAGGUUCUAAGUCUACUUGGAGUAGAAGUUAAGACCUCAGUGGAUUCACAGCAUGAAUCACUCGACACAGCUAUGCCCAAAAUAAAUGGAAUGAUUUAUUGGUUGAUUUAGAGAGGAAUCGUGUGUAUGGGGAGAUACCUGAGUAAGAAAUAGGGUUGUUGGAAGCCCACACUGGCAGGAGUUUGUAGUAAGCCAUGCUCCUGCCUCUUAAGUUUCGAGAGAAAGAGAUUACAUAGAGAAUAUUCUGACAAGUGAGCCAGGUGCAUGGGGGGCCAGACCUCAGACUGUGGGCACCCACUAAGAUGGCCUCCAAUGAUCCCUUUCUGCUUGUGUUCUUGCCCUUGUGAAAGUCCCUUGCACAGUGGUCUCUGUGACCCAUAAAGUACAAAAGAAGUAACAUUAAGUUACUUCUAAGAUUAGCUAAUGAAAGCCUUUGGCUUCUGUCUUUGGCAUUUUCUCUCUUAUAUUAAUCGCUCUAAAGGUGCUGCCAUGGCCUGGGGACCCCCAGGCUGCCCAGGAAGAAAUCCAUGUGGCCAAGAAUUGAUGUCUCCAGGACUUAACUAACAGGAGGCCUUCAUAGCAGCUGUGUACCACGGUCGGUCAAGUUGAUAAACUGGAACAUGGAAGGUAUAAGAAAAUGGGUGGGAAAGAGCUGGAUCACCAAAGGGAUUGGUGCGAAUGUCUAGUUGACUCAGAGAACUGAUAAAGGCUCUCACAGCUAUAAGAGAGACUAAGGACAUGUGAAGAAUGACAGUUAACUGGAAGAGUACAGAAAGUAUGGUGAAUAUAGUCUGAAAGCUAAAAACUGAUAUUAUAUCUAACACCUAUCUCUGAGGGUCAGAGCAUCCCUUAUUGACAUAUGGUUUCAGAAACUUCAGGGCAGAUACAUAAAUUACUACAACACAAGAAUUAAACAUAAAAAAAGAAUUAAAUAUACGAGUACACAUGUACACUGUAUAUCAGUAUAUAAAAAAGUGCAUAAAUAGCAUAGAUCACUUAAAAUAACAUAAACUCAUAUAAAGUAUAAUGCAGAAUAAUUAGUAUAGGAUAUUGCAUGAAAAAUAACUAUCAUAAACCUGAUAUAAUAAAAAUAAAUGAUAUGUAAAUAGAAAUACACGUAAUACAUUCACAAUAGUAAUAAAGUUACUAUUUAAAAUAUAUUUUAAAUAUACUUUAUGCUUUAAAAUACAUACCUAUUUUAAAAUAUUUAUACAAAGAAUGCUCAAAUUUCAGAAAAAAGUCUGAUAAAUGUUAAGCUAAAUUUUAGUUGAAAAAUUAGUUAUAGAAAAUUAGCAUUUGUAUAAUCACUGUUCU
rnacentral:lncRNA from 1 species